rnacentral:SRP_RNA from 1 species
UAUGCUACUACAACAUAAUCUAAUGAACCAGGUCAGGGUAGGAAUACAGCAGCCUUAAUUUAGCUCUUAUGUGUGUAGUGGCUUUUUU